GGUUUCCCGGGGAAGGUUCGUCCGCCCGGGGUUAGUCGGAACCUAAGGCGAGGCCGAAAGGCGUAGUCGAUGGAGGACAGGUUAAUAUUCCUGUACCACCUUGUCGGAGUGAUGGAGGGACGCAGUAAGUCAGGCGAGCCAACUGCUGAAUAUGUUGGUCGAAUCCCGUAGGGCGUGUCAUAGGCAAAUCCGUGACACAACAGCCUGAGAGGCGUAAGGUAUCCGGGCGCAAGUCUGGAGAAUUCGCUGUGACUACACUGACGAGAAAAGCUUCUAAACGUCGAUAGCAGGGUGUCCGUACCGUAAACCGACACAGGUAGGUGAGGCGAGUAGCCUAAGGUGCGCGAGAGAAACCAACGUUAAGGAACUCGGCAAACAGCCCCUGUAACUUCGGAAUAAGGGGUGCCGUUUCAGGUGGAGGGAUUUACUCCCCGAGCCCGGGACGGUUGCAAUAAAGAGGCCGGUGCGACUGUUUAACAAAAACAUAGCUCUAUGCUAACUCGUAAGAGGAUGUAUAUGGAGUGACACGUGACCAAUGCCAAAAGGUCAAUGGGAGAGGUUAGCGCAAGCGAAGCUUCGAUCUGAAGCCCUGGUGAAUGUCGGCCGUAACUAUAACGGUCCUAAGGUAGCGAAAUUCCUUGUCGGGUAAGUUCCGACCUGCACGAAUCGUGUAACGAUGCCGGCACUGUCUCAACGUGGAUCUCGGCGAAGUUGUAAUUCCGGUGAAAAUGCCGGAUACCUGCGGAAGGACGGAAAGACCCCAUGAACCUUUACUGUAAUCUGAUAUUGGUAUUUGAUUGCUCUUGUGUAGCAUAGGUGGGAGGCUGUGAAGCCGCUACGCCAGUACCGGUGGAGCCACAGGUGAAAUACCACCCUGGUGCAAUUAGAUAUCUAACGGACGCCCGUGAAUCCGGACUCCGGACCGUGUCAGAGGGUCAGUUUGACUGGGGCGGUUUCCUCCUAAAUUGUAACGGAGGAGCCCGAAGGUACACUCAGCACGGUUGGCAAUCGUGUGUAGAGCGUAAGGGUAGAAGUGUGCUUUACUGUAAGACCGACAGGUCGAGCAGUUGCGAAAGCAGGGCCUAGUGAUCCAGCGAUGGAAUGUGGAAUCGUCGUUGCUCAACGGAUAAAAGGUACUCUGGGGAUAACAGG
rnacentral:rRNA from 1 species